rnacentral:lncRNA from 1 species
AUUCACGUAUUCCUCAACGACAGCUCGGCGCACAGGCUUCACCUAUUUUUCACUAUAUUCUCCCUUUUAUAACCUUCAACACUCAUCAAUCUGAGGUAAUUCUUAUCAAGCUAUUGUGUUUGGNCGAUGGAUUGGAGAUUUUCCUUUGAGAAUUCUAUUUAUAUUUCUCUACCUAAAAGUCUCCCAAAGUCUAAUAAAUUAUAAAUUUCCCGAAAGUAUUUUUUAAUUGAAUACCCUGAAACUUGUAGAGAUUCCUAAAAAAUUUUAAUUGAAUACCUCGUAACUUAUAGAGACUUUUUAAAAGUCUUUAUUGAAUACACCAAAAUUUUAAGAGAGUCUUUAAAAAUCUCAAUUAAAUACACCAAAAUUUUUAAAAUCUCCCAAAGUCUUUAAAAAUCUCAAUUGAAUAUACCAUCGUAAAAGAAUUGUAUGGAUAUCGUAUCGUGUAUGCCUAAUCCUUCACGCCUAGGGUUUCUCGUGUUUCUCUCUCUCUCUAUAUAUAUAUCACAUUCCAACCACACACUUUCACGCAUUCACGUAUUCCUCAACGACAGCUCGGCGCACAGGCUUAACCUAUUUUUCACUAUAUUCUCCCUUUUAUAACCUUCAACACUCAUCAAUCUGAGGUAAUUCUUAUCAAGCUAUUGUGUUUGGAUCCGUUGAGUUUAUUAUUAUUUUUUGAUUUAGUUGAAAUGUGUUAUGGUGAUGAGUUUUUUGGGUUGGGAUUUGACGGGUUUUGUGAGGUUAUUAUUUAUUAUCAUCUUUAUGCUUGGCUACGUGGGUUGAUUCUUAAACUGAGAUCGAAUCUGGAUUUUUUUGUUGGAUGAUUUAGAUUAGAAACUUGAGUUCGGGGAUUGGAUGAUUUUUUUUAUUUGUGACAUUGUGAUUUGAUUAGUGAAGUUGAGAAGUAAUUAUUUACGAUGAUUUUUU